GGAGUGGGGUCCGGCAAUGGAACAUAGUGAACCGGGUCAGGUGGGAAACCAAGCAGCCAUAAGCCAUCCCUUCCAUGUGUCGGAUUCCAUUUCGGC
rnacentral:SRP_RNA from 1 species